rnacentral:lncRNA from 1 species
GUCGGGGGCCAGUAGGCCUGGCCUCAGCGGGCUGGCAGAGCAGCGGGAAGGCCUGAUUUCCUGCCUCACACCCAGGCUCUAGGGCAGUAGGCUUGUUGCUGACAGCCUGGGCCUAACCCCAUCUGCUCACCUCAUGUUGCCUGAUCUGCUGAUGCAGGGUGGCCUACUGCCUCCCCAGUGCCUCUGCCUGUGUGGUCCACCCUUGGGUUCAGCGCUAUGCCUAUGCAGUUGGCUCCCUCCAAUCCUCAAGCUGAGUGGGUAAAUUACGCUUUGCAGAGUGAGGGUUGCCACCUUCCUAAGCCUGGAACAGACUGGACUUGUAUGCUUGUAAAUCACCUGGUCCUCCUUUCCCUAGGCGUGAGUCGCCUCUGAAGCUUUGCCAGUGGGGCAUUCUGGCUCCAUCUCUGCUCCUCCAUUUUCUUAUCCAUAAAAUGUAGAUAAUAAUAGUGCUCCCAAAGGGACAAAAUGUAGACCUACUCUAUGUGAGGCUCUGGCACCGUUGCAUACCUCCAGGAGUGGGGUGCUCACCAGCAUCCAGGCAGCCCCAUCUAUUGUGGGGUGGCAUCAUAGGAGCAACUUGUUUUAGGGGAGGAGGGAGAAAGCCAAGGAAGGGUUAACCCAGGAUCUCAACAAAUGUCUGGCAAUGGGAUUUUCCCACAAUACGGCCAACUGAAGGCCCCUUGAGAACUAAGAGUUUUCCCAUCCUGGAGCUUCUCAGCCAUCUGGCCUUAGGAAACCACAGUCUUUCCUGCCUCCUGGCUUUUGCAAGCUCUUCCAUCACUCCCGCCUGCACACACCUUCUAUUGGAAGUCCUCUCAGAUUAUUCAGGUCAAAACCAACUCUACAUUUAUGGGUUCACCCAGUUCUGGUCCUCUUGUGUUACCUCAGCAGCAGCAGCAUGUGUGAUUUUCCUAAAUCCUUGAGGCACUGAAGGAUGAAGAAAAGGACAGUGGGUGUGGCACUGGGGAAGUGGCUUCCAGUCAUUAGCCACCCAGAGCUAACCUCCUCUCUUCCCUGAACUUCAGUUUCCCCAUCUUCCAAAUGUGAAAAUCGGGCUUGGGGACCUCUAAGGGCCCUAAGGCUGUGCUGUCCACUAUGAAUGCACUAUGUAAAUUAAAUUCAAAUGAACAAAAAUUAAAAUUUAAAAUUUGUCCUUCAAUC